rnacentral:rRNA from 1 species
AACGAACGCUGGCGGCAUGCCUAACACAUGCAAGUCGAACGGGAUCCAGGCUUCGGCCUGGUGAGAGUGGCGGACGGGUGAGUAACACGUGGGAACCUGCCUUUUGGUUCGGGAUAACCGCGGGAAACUGCGGCUAAUACCGGAUGCUCCCGAGAGGGGAAAGAUUUAUCGCCAGAAGAGGGGCCCGCGUCCGAUUAGGUAGUUGGUGAGGUAAUGGCUCACCAAGCCGACGAUCGGUAGCUGGUCUGAGAGGAUGAUCAGCCACACUGGGACUGAGAUACGGCCCAGACUCCUACGGGAGGCAGCAGUGGGGAAUAUUGGACAAUGGGGGCAACCCUGAUCCAGCAAUGCCGCGUGAGUGAUGAAGGCCUUAGGGUUGUAAAGCUCUUUUGCCAGGGAAGAUGAUGACUGUACCUGGAGAAUAAGCCCCCGGCUAAACUUCGUGCCAGCAGCCGCGGUAAU